rnacentral:rRNA from 1 species
UAGCUACAGGCUUAACACAUGCAAUUCGAGGGGAAACGAUAUUGGAAGCUUGCUUCCGAUAGGCGUCGACCGGCGCACGGGUGAGUAACGCGUAUCCAACCUGCCCACCACUUGGGGAUAACCUUGCGAAAGUAAGACUAAUACCCAAUGAUAUCUCUAGAAGACAUCUGAAAGAGAUUAAAGAUUUAUCGGUGAUGGAUGGGGAUGCGUCUGAUUAGCUUGUUGGCGGGGUAACGGCCCACCAAGGCAACGAUCAGUAGGGGUUCUGAGAGGAAGGUCCCCCACAUUGGAACUGAGACACGGUCCAAACUCCUACGGGAGGCAGCAGUGAGGAAUAUUGGUCAAUGGACGAGAGUCUGAACCAGCCAAGUAGCGUGCAGGAAGACGGCCCUAUGGGUUGUAAACUGCUUUUAUAAGGGAAUAAAGUGAGUCUCGUGAGACUUUUUGCAUGUACCUUAUGAAUAAGGACCGGCUAAUUCCGUGCCAGCAGCCGCGGUAAUACGGAAGGUCCGGGCGUUAUCCGGAUUUAUUGGGUUUAAAGGGAGCGUAGGCCGGAGAUUAAGCGUGUUGUGAAAUGUAGACGCUCAACGUCUGCACUGCAGCGCGAACUGGUUUCCUUGAGUACGCACAAAGUGGGCGGAAUUCGUGGUGUAGCGGUGAAAUGCUUAGAUAUCACGAAGAACUCCGAUUGCGAAGGCAGCUCACUGGAGCGCAACUGACGCUGAAGCUCGAAAGUGCGGGUAUCGAACAGGAUUAGAUACCCUGGUAGUCCGCACGGUAAACGAUGGAUGCCCGCUGUUGGUCUGAAUAGGUCAGCGGCCAAGCGAAAGCAUUAAGCAUCCCACCUGGGGAGUACGCCGGCAACGGUGAAACUCAAAGGAAUUGACGGGGGCCCGCACAAGCGGAGGAACAUGUGGUUUAAUUCGAUGAUACGCGAGGAACCUUACCCGGGCUUGAAUUGCAGAGGAAGGAUUUGGAGACAAUGACGCCCUUCGGGGCCUCUGUGAAGGUGCUGCAUGGUUGUCGUCAGCUCGUGCCGUGAGGUGUCGGCUUAAGUGCCAUAACGAGCGCAACCCCUCUCCUUAGUUGCCAUCAGGUCAAGCUGGGCACUCUGGGGACACUGCCACCGUAAGGUGUGA